UCUCAGGCGAUAAAAUUGCACUCCAUGUUUAUCCUCAUAUAGACCAACACAAGGGAUGAAGACAAUAUAAUAAAAUGGUCAAAAAACUAUAUAUGGGGGGAGAGAAAGAGGCGCUAACCCAUCUAGCUUUUAAAUUUACACGAACAAAUCCAGACACUACAUAGACAAAUUAGGAGGAGCCACGUCAAAAUCGUUGUAUUUACUCCCAUUUUCUUCUGGUUGCAAGUUUGACUGUUCUUCCACCACCAAACUCAUGCGCUUGCACCAACAUAGAUAUUGUGGGAUUGGACCUUCGUCUCCAAUCACCCAGCUGUGCUUUGCUAUGGCG
rnacentral:misc_RNA from 1 species